UACGUAGGGUGCAGGCGUUAAUCGGAAUUACUGGGCGUAAAGCGUGCGCAGGCGGCUUCCUAAGUCAGAUGUGAAAUCCCCGGGCUUAACCUGGGAACUGCGUUUGAAACUGUCAGGCUAGAGGUAGGUAGGGGAGAUCGGAAUUCCUGGUGUAGCGGUGAAAUGCGCAGAUAUCAGGAGGAACACCGGUGGCGAAGGCGGAGCUCUGGGCCGUGACUGACGCUCAGGCGCGAAAGCUAGGGGAGCGAACAGG
rnacentral:rRNA from 1 species